rnacentral:rRNA from 1 species
UACGAAGGGGGCUAGCGUUGUUCGGAAUUACUGGGCGUAAAGGGCGCGUAGGCGGUGUGUCAAGUCAGGCGUGAAAGCCCCGGGCUCAACCUGGGAACCGCGCUUGAGACUGGCACGCUAGAGUUCGGGAGAGGAUGGUGGAAUUCCCAGUGUAGAGGUGAAAUUCGUAGAUAUUGGGAAGAACACCGGUGGCGAAGGCGGCAUCCUGGACCGACACUGACGCUGAGGCGCGAAAGCUAGGGUAGCAAACGGG